GUUUAGUAGUGGGAGAAGGGAGCUGUGUUGGGGGCUACAAAGGCAAGUAGCCUACAGUUACUCCCUGUGAGGUGGGAGUGUGGGGCUGGCAAACCCAGGGAAGUGGGGAGAGCCAGAAGUCUUCUCUGUGGUGUUAAUCAAGACCGGAAAAGAUUCUGCAGAACUUUAGAGGCACUUGACAAAGCUAGGGGGAUGGAGAUACAAUGACAGAUAAAAUUCAGGGUGGAUACAUGCAAGACUGCAGUUCAACAUCAAGCUGCUGGAACUCUGACCCUCUGCAUGACCGUGAUGUCCAGAGGCAUCGCCGGGAACCUCCAGAUGAGUGGAUCGUGACUGGCCAUUGAGUGAAAUUUGUCUGUAUAUUGGGAGUGUGUCUUUGUGCAGCAGCUGGGGUAUGACAAUAAGGUCCCUGAUCUAUAAUUCCAGACAGCCCCUGAGGGUGAACAGGUUGACCAAUCCUGAGCCUCUACGUCAGUUAAAGUGAUGAAGCCUGGAGAACUCUGUAUCCCCAGGAGGCAGUCAUCUAAUGCUUCCUAUUUGUAUUCUACAUGAAACUCUUCUUCAUGCUGGACUGUUGUUCACUCAGAGAAUUGUCCAGUGUGCAAGGUAUAAACUCCCACUAGCGAUUGAAUACAUCUAAAUAAAAGCAUGCCUAAAGUGUGACAUAAUGUAACUCUAAGUGAAAAGGAAUGCACUAAAUCUAAACACCAUUUAAGCCUGCAUACACUGUUCAAACUGUAGACUGGUUAAUAAACUCAGUAUCUGCAUUUAAAUAUGGCAUUAGUACAUUCAAAGAGAGUAUCUCUGAAAUUUCUACUUAUAGGAAUUUCUUUUUAUUGAAUUUGAUUCAAAAAUACAAAAUUGGCUGUUCAAACUAACUGAGCUGUUUUCAAAGUACUAAUGUGAAAUAUCACCAUGUAGUUCCUUAUGGAAUGUGGUAAAGAGCCCAAUUUGAAAAACUAGCUUUUAUUUUAUUAUUUUUUGAUUUGUUUCAUGGAAAUAUGAUUAUAUAGGUGUUUAUUUCACAACACCCAAAAGCAUGCCAAAUGCUUCAGAGUGCAGAUAGAAAAGCAAGGUUCCUGCCCCAAAGA